GGAUUGUGCUCAGUUGGUUAGAGUGUGGUGCUGAUGACGUCAAGGUUGCAGGUUCGAUCCCUGUAUGGGGCA